CUGGCCGAGCGUUUCAGAGGGCAAGAGGGAGGAAAUGAGAAGGAUCAGGGAGUGUGGCCGUGUGAGCCUCCCCAGACUCCGCAGAAUCCUUCCCGCUGUAAACUGGCCGAGACUUCACGGGGUCACUCGUAGCUGCCAGAGGGAGAGAGAACAAAGUCUUGGUUUCUAACCAGGUGUCCCAGGAGGACCCCUGCGUUCGCACAGGAAGCCGUGGGGACAAGGAUGGAAGUUACGGAGCGGGACCCGCAGGGAUAUGUGGUGACGGGUGGUUCGUGAGCUAAAGGAUCUAUGAUAUUUUACCCAGGAAUGCUCAAACUCUGCAGUGCAUUAAGAUCUCAAUCUUAUUUUGGAAUCUUGAAAGAAAACAAAGGAAGCCAUUAUCUCUUAAUAAACAAGAAGAAGAAUUUAAGAACUCCUGAAUACCCAGCUA